rnacentral:rRNA from 1 species
UACGAGGGGGGGCGAGCGUUGUUCGGAAUUACUGGGCGUAAAGCGCACGUAGGCGGCUUUGUAAGUUAGAGGUGAAAGCCCGGGGCUCAACUCCGGAACUGCCUUUAAGACUGCAUCGCUUGAAUCCAGGAGAGGUGAGUGGAAUUCCGAGUGUAGAGGUGAAAUUCGUAGAUAUUCGGAAGAACACCAGUGGCGAAGGCGGCUCACUGGACUGGUAUUGACGCUGAGGUGCGAAAGCGUGGGGAGCAAACAGG